GACGAACCGAGCGAACGUUGUUCGGAAUCACUGGGCUUAAAGGGCGCGUAGGCGGGCUAUCAAGUCCGGGGUGAAAUCCUCCAGCUUAACUGGAGAACGGCCUCGGAUACUGAUGGUCUCGAGGGAGGUAGGGGCACGCGGAACUGUGGGUGGAGCGGUGAAAUGCGUUGAUAUCGUUAGGAACUCCGGUGGCGAAGGCGGCACGCUGGACCUCUUCUGACGCUGAGGCGCGAAAGCCAGGGGAGCAAACGGG
rnacentral:rRNA from 1 species